rnacentral:rRNA from 1 species
CCUACGGGAGGCAGCAGUAGGGAAUCUUCCACAAUGGGCGAAAGCCUGAUGGAGCAACGCCGCGUGGGUGAAGAAGGUCUUCGGAUCGUAAAACCCUGUUGUUAGAGAAGAAAGUGCGUGAGAGUAACUGUUCACGUUUCGACGGUAUCUAACCAGAAAGCCACGGCUAACUACGUGCCAGCAGCCGCGGUAAUACGUAGGUGGCAAGCGUUAUCCGGAUUUAUUGGGCGUAAAGGGAACGCAGGCGGUCUUUUAAGUCUGAUGUGAAAGCCUUCGGCUUAACCGGAGUAGUGCAUGGGAAACUGGGAGACUGGAGUGCAGAAGAGGAGAGUGGAACUCCAGGUGUAGCGGUGAAAUGCGUAGAUAGAUGGAAGAACACCAGUGGCGAAAGCGGCUCUCUGGUCUGUAACUGACGCUGAGGUCCGAAAGCGUGGGUAGCAAACAGGAUUAGAUACCCUUGUAGUC